AGCAGCCGCGGUAAUUCCAGCUCCAAUAGCGUAUAUUAAAGUUGUUGCAGUUAAAAAGCUCGUAGUUGAAUUUCGGGAUCAAUUUAUCGGUCGUGCCUAUGGUAUGAACUGGUACAAUUGGUUUCUCCCUUCUGACGAAGCAUGAUGUCAUUAAUUUGGUGUCGUGGGGAAUCAGGACUGUUACUUUGAAAAAAUUAGAGUGUUUAAAGCAAGCAUUAGCUUGAAUACAUUAGCAUGGAAUAAUGAAAUAGGACGUUUGAUCCUAUUUCGUUGGUUUCCAGGAUCGACGUAAUGAUUAAUAGGGAUAGUUGGGGGCAUUAGUAUUCAAUUGUCAGAGGUGAAAUUCUUGGAUUUAUUGAAGACUAACUACUGCGAAAGCAUUUGCCAAGGAUGUUUUCAUUAAUCAAGAACGAAAGUUAGGGGAUCGAAGACGAUCAGAUACCGUCGUAGUCUUAACCAUAAACUAUGCCGACUAGGGAUCGGAUGAUGUUAAUUUUUUAAUGACUCA
rnacentral:rRNA from 1 species